GACGAACGCUGGCGGCGUGCCUAAUACAUGCAAGUAGAACGCACAGUUUAUACCGUAGCUUGCUACACCAUAGACUGUGAGUUGCGAACGGGUGAGUAACGCGUAGGUAACCUGCCUGGUAGCGGGGGAUAACUAUUGGAAACGAUAGCUAAUACCGCAUAAUAUUGAUUAUUGCAUGAUAAUUGAUUGAAAGAUGCUAUUGCAUCACUACCAGAUGGACCUGCGUUGUAUUAGCUAGUAGGUGAGGUAACGGCUCACCUAGGCGACGAUACAUAGCCGACCUGAGAGGGUGAUCGGCCACACUGGGACUGAGACACGGCCCAGACUCCUACGGGAGGCAGCAGUAGGGAAGCUUCGGCAAUGGACGAAAGUCUGACCGAGCAACGCCGCGUGAGUGAAGAAGGUUUUCGGAUCGUAAAGCUCUGUUGUAAGAGAAGAACGGGUGUGAGAGUGGAAAGUUCACACUGUGACGGUAUCUUACCAGAAAGGGACGGCUAACUACGCG
rnacentral:rRNA from 1 species